rnacentral:rRNA from 1 species
UACGAAGGGGGCUAGCGUUGUUCGGAAUUACUGGGCGUAAAGCGCACGUAGGCGGAUAUUUAAGUCAGGGGUGAAAUCCCGGGGCUCAACCCCGGAACUGCCUUUGAUACUGGGUAUCUCGAGUCCGAGAGAGGUGAGUGGAAUUCCGAGUGUAGAGGUGAAAUUCGUAGAUAUUCGGAGGAACACCAGUGGCGAAGGCGGCUCACUGGCUCGGUACUGACGCUGAGGCACGAAAGCGUGGGGAGCAAACGGG